AGUGAUAGGGCUGCCAUUCUGGUCCCGCCACUGCUUCUUCCUCUGAAAGCAAUUUAGAGGAGAGCCAAGAAGAACAGAGCCUACCCCUUUAAUUAGCCUGCGGAGCCAGGCAAGGAUAAAAUCCUGACUCCUGUAGUUCGUGUGUAGGGUGACUAUAUGACUGAUAUUCAAACUGGGAUGGCUGUGAAUACGAAUGUAAGGAAAACAGAUGCAAGGGGGACUGCCACGGGAAAACCAAGAUGUAUCCACGAGACCCUGCUAGAUCUGGCUGCAGCCCCAACCCUCCCUGUCCCCAUCUGCCCACCUUGCUCCAGAUUAGACAUUUCUGGACCUGGCAACGGAACCUCUUUUAGGGCUGAAACUAAAGACAACAAUGAUUCUGACCCAGGAGCCUGGGCUCUAAACUCCUUGGGAAGUGAGCCCACUUUCCACACGGACAAACGAACGGCAGCUCAUGAACAAAGAGGCACAGGAAGAGGGAAGGGGGUCAGGGAAGGUGACAUUUCCUGAGUGCCCACACAAGGCCUGGAUCGCCACAUGCUUCAAUUCAUUUAUGAACAGCCACUAGAGGAACACGGUGACACUGAGGUGGAGAGAAAGAAACGAGCGUUUUGGCAGUGGAUGGGGUCUGGGGGUGAGUAGGCAAUGGAUAUAUUUGUAUGUAUGUAUGGUGUGCUUAUUGUUUAACAUUAAAUACAGAUUUAUCAAGCACUCUUCUACAUGCUACGUGCCCAAAGAGGUGUAAGCCACAGUCUGAGCUCUCAAGGAGGCAAAUGGUAUAAAGAAACAUACCCUAAGUUAAAUAACAAGCUGAAUGAACAUGGUAUAACAUUAUAGAUUUUAGAGUUGCCUGGAUCCAGAGGGAACAUUUGAUCCAGAGUUUCCAGAAAUGUUGUCCUCAUCUCACUGAUAGGAUGCAAGAUGAUUUGGGUAUUAUACAAACGUUUAAAACUUUCAUUAGGCAUUCAUGUUAACAUGCAUUAGAAAAAUCGACAGCGUAUCACGCCCUCUGUGGUGGCACAUGCCUGUAGUCCCAACUACUCGAGAG
rnacentral:lncRNA from 1 species